AUUGAACGCUGGCGGCAGGCUUAACACAUGCAAGUCGAACGAGUGGCGGACGGGUGAGUAAUGCAUGGGCAUCUAGCUUAUGGAGGGGGAUAACUACGGGAAACUGUAGCUAAUACCGCCUACCAUAGGCUGAGCCCAAGUGGGAUUAGGUAGUUGGUGAGGUAAAGGCUCACCAAGCCGACGAUCUCUAGCUGGUCUGAGAGGAUGACCAGCCACACUGGGACUGAGACACGGCCCAGACUCCUACGGGAGGCAGCAGUGGGGAAUAUUGCACAAUGGGCGCAAGCUGAUGCAGCCAUGCCGCGUGUAUGAAGAAGGCCUUAGGGUUGUAAAGUUCUUUCGGUAGCGAGGCGUUAACUACAGAAGAAGCACCGGCUAACUCCGUGCCAGCAGCCGCGGUAAUAC
rnacentral:rRNA from 1 species